rnacentral:tRNA from 1 species
CAAAGAGUAGUUUAAAAUUAAAAUAUUAAUUUUGGAUAUUAAUGAUAAAUGUGAAUUUUUCUUUGA